GUGAGGAAUUAUGCGCAAUGGGGGAAACCCUGACGCUGCGACGCCGCGUGGGCGAUGAAGGUCUUCGGAUCGUAAAGCCCUGUCGAGAGGGAAGAACCGCUCGGGUGUCAAUACCACCCGGGCCUGACGGUACCUCUGGAGGAAGCCCCGGCUAACUCCGUGCCAGCAGCCGCGGUAAUACGGAGGGGGCGAGCGUUGUUCGGAAUUACUGGGCGUAAAGCGCGCGUAGGCGGUCUUGUCAGUCGAAUGUGAAAGCCCUCGGCUCAACCGAGGAACUGCGUUCGAUACUGCAAGGCUUGAGUCCGGUAGGGGAUGGCAGAAUUCCCGGUGUAGCGGUGGAAUGCGUAGAUAUCGGGAGGAAUACCGAUGGCGAAGGCGGCCAUCUGGGCCGGAACUGACGCUGAGGCGCGAAAGCUAGGGGAGCAAACAGGAUUAGAUACCCCAGUAGUCC
rnacentral:rRNA from 1 species